rnacentral:rRNA from 1 species
CAGCCGCCGCGGUAAUACGUAGGGGGCGAGCGUUACCCGGAUUCACUGGGCGUAAAGGGGGUGUAGGCGGCUCGGUAAGUCGGGUGUGAAAUCCCACGGCUCAACCGUGGAAUUGCGCCCGAAACUGCCGAGCUUGGGGCCGGUAGAGGGAGACGGAACUGCCGGUGUAGGGGUGAAAUCCGUAGAUAUCGGCAGGAACGCCGGUGGGGAAGCCGGUCUCCUGGGCCGCGCCCGACGCUGAGGCCCGAAAGCUAGGGGAGCAAACCGGAUUAGAUCCCCGGGUAGUCCUAGCCGUAAACGAUGCCCACUAGGUGUGGGGGGUUAAUCCCUCCGUGCCGAAGCUAACGCAUUAAGUGCCCCGCCUGGGGAGUACGGCCGCAAGGUUGAAACUUAAAGGAAUUGGCGGG